rnacentral:rRNA from 1 species
AGUGAACGCUGGCGGUAGGCCUAACACAUGCAAGUCGAACGGCAGCACAGUAAGAGCUUGCUCUUACGGGUGGCGAGUGGCGGACGGGUGAGGAAUACAUCGGAAUCUACUUUUUCGUGGGGGAUAACGUAGGGAAACUUACGCUAAUACCGCAUACGACCUACGGGUGAAAGCAGGGGAUCUUCGGACCUUGCGCGAUUGAAUGAGCCGAUGUCGGAUUAGCUAGUUGGCGGGGUAAAGGCCCACCAAGGCGAAGAUCCGUAGCUGGUCUGAGAGGAUGAUCAGCCACACUGGAACUGAGACACGGUCCAGACUCCUACGGGAGGCAGCAGUGGGGAAUAUUGGACAAUGGGCGCAAGCCUGAUCCAGCCAUACCGCGUGGGUGAAGAAGGCCUUCGGGUUGUAAAGCCCUUUUGUUGGGAAAGAAAAGCAGCAGGUUAAUACCCCGCUGUUCUGACGGUACCCAAAGAAUAAGCACCGGCUAACUUCGUG